rnacentral:rRNA from 1 species
UAGGGAAUCUUCGGCAAUGGGGGCAACCCUGACCGAGCAACGCCGCGUGAGUGAAGAAGGUUUUCGGAUCGUAAAGCUCUGUUGUAAGAGAAGAACGUGUGUGAGAGUGGAAAGUUCACACAGUGACGGUAACUUACCAGAAAGGGACGGCUAACUACGUGCCAGCAGCCGCGGUAAUACGUAGGUCCCGAGCGUUGUCCGGAUUUAUUGGGCGUAAAGCGAGCGCAGGCGGUUUAAUAAGUCUGAAGUUAAAGGCAGUGGCUUAACCAUUGUUCGCUUUGGAAACCGUUAAACUUGAGUGCAGAAGGGGAGAGUGGAAUUCCAUGUGUAGCGGUGAAAUGCGUAGAUAUAUGGAGGAACACCGGUGGCGAAAGCGGCUCUCUGGUCUGUAACUGACGCUGAGGCUCGAAAGCGUGGGGAGCAAACAGG